AGAGUUUGAUCCUGGCUCAGGACGAACGCUGGCGGCGUGCUUAACACAUGCAAGUCGAACGGAAAGGCCCUGCUUUUGUGGGGUGCUCGAGUGGCGAACGGGUGAGUAACACGUGAGUAACCUGCCCUUGACUUUGGGAUAACUUCAGGAAACUGGGGCUAAUACCGGAUAGGAGCUCCUGCUGCAUGGUGGGGGUUGGAAAGUUUCGGCGGUUGGGGAUGGACUCGCGGCUUAUCAGCUUGUUGGUGGGGUAGUGGCUUACCAAGGCUUUGACGGGUAGCCGGCCUGAGAGGGUGACCGGCCACAUUGGGACUGAGAUACGGCCCAGACUCCUACGGGAGGCAGCAGUGGGGAAUAUUGCACAAUGGGCGCAAGCCUGAUGCAGCAACGCCGCGUGCGGGAUGACGGCCUUCGGGUUGUAAACCGCUUUCGCCUGUGACGAAGCGUGAGUGACGGUAAUGGGUAAAGAAGCACCGGCUAACUACGUGCCAGCAGCCGCGGUGAUACGUAGGGUGCGAGCGUUGUCCGGAUUUAUUGGGCGUAAAGGGCUCGUAGGUGGUUGAUCGCGUCGGAAGUGUAAUCUUGGGGCUUAACCCUGAGCGUGCUUUCGAUACGGGUUGACUUGAGGAAGGUAGGGGAGAAUGGAAUUCCUGGUGGAGCGGUGGAAUGCGCAGAUAUCAGGAGGAACACCAGUGGCGAAGGCGGUUCUCUGGACCUUUCCUGACGCUGAGGAGCGAAAGCGUGGGGAGCGAACAGGCUUAGAUACCCUGGUAGUCCACGCUGUAAACGAUGUCUACUAGCCGUCGGGGUCCUUAGUGACUUUGGUGGCGCAGCUAACGCGAUAAGUAGACCGCCUGGGGAGUACGGCCGCAAGGUUAAAACUCAAAUGAAUUGACGGGGGCCCGCACAAGCGGUGGAGCAUGUGGUUUAAUUCGACGCAACGCGAAGAACCUUACCUGGCCUUGACAUGCAGAGAACUUUCCAGAGAUGGAUUGGUGCCUUCGGGAACUCUGACACAGGUGCUGCAUGGCCGUCGUCAGCUCGUGCCGUGAGGUGUUGGGUUAAGUCCCGCAACGAGCGCAACCCCUACAUUUAGUUGCCAGCGGAUCAAGCCGGGGACUCUAGAUGGACUGCCUGCGCAAGCAGUGAGGAAGGCGGGGACGACGUCAGGUCAUCAUGGCCCUUACGCCUAGGGCUACACACGUGCUACAAUGGACGGUACAGAGGGUCGCUACACGGCAACGUGAUGCCAAUCUCAGAAAGCCGUUCUCAGUUCGGAUCGAAGUCUGCAACUCGACUUCGUGAAGCUGGAAUCACUAGUAAUCGCGUAUCAGCCAUGACGCGGUGAAUACGUUCCCGGGCCUUGUACACACCGCCCGUCACACCAUG
rnacentral:rRNA from 1 species